GAGUUGUCCAAAAGAUCCUGAAAUGUGGCUGAUGAGAAUGCUGACAUCUCUUAGGUCAUUGAAAGGAAACCAGGGGGUCUGGAGAGACGAUCCUGGAUAAUGCAUUUGCCUCCCAUAAAUGACGACGUCAGUUUGGAUGCGCAGCCUCCACAUGAAAAGAGCAGGCAGACACUACAGCCCACCUACAAU